GGAUUCCAUCUUUGCGGUGUAACAUGAUGAAUCUUACUAGAAACGUCUGAAAAGUCCAAAUUUUGUUAAUUUUCUAGGAGUCAAACAGCAAUUUUGGAGAGUGGUAAUGGCCUUGAGAAGGUUCACAACCGUUAUUUGAAUGGCCUUACAUCUGUUUUGCUUGCUUAAAACUGUUCAUUGUAUACACGCGAAUUAAAAGUAAUUAAACAGGUGCGCAGCGGCCAUCUUGUUUACACAUAUCUUGUAUAUGGCCUACAAUAAUAAAUAAGUGAUAACAUUAAUGACACUAUUUCCAAGCACUUGUAAUACGACAUCCAGUAUACUAAUACCACGCGUAGUUAGAUUGUAAUGUACGUAGACAAGUAAUUAAAUAGCUUCAGGAUGACGUCACUUGAAACUAUUAAUAACUAAAAGAAUUCUUUGUAACUCUGUAACUGUAGUUUAAAGUAGCUUCAUGCUGUGUUUGUAGUAUAGAGGGAUCUUUGCUUGUGAAAAUAUAGUAUUUGCAGAUGGGCUAUUGGUGUAAACUUACGUAGCCAUAUUAAAUGAAACUAAUAUUAAAAUAUGAUUGAUUUAUUUUGUAGUUUUUUUGUAUUAUUACCAAACUUUUGUGUCACAUGGUUGGCAGGAAUUAAACAACCGCUACUUGAUUGUUUGCUUUCCAUGUUUUUCAUGAGAGCUAGGGAUCGGUUUUUUGUUUUAUGGCAGGCUCAUUGAUGACACCUGACGGAGGUGAAUUUGACAGAACUGAAGCGAAUUAAGGCUCCUCCUAACCUUGUGUCACAGAAACACGUACGCUACUGUGUUGGGAGAUUUACAAUAGAUUUUGUUGCAUUUAAGGCGGGAUUCCCAAAGGCAAUUUUGAAAUACCGCCCUGCUGGGAAAAUAUCUCUCGGCCGACCUCAGAAGAGAUGGACGGAAAAUACAAGACCGUAACUGGCCUCGUGGCCUAAUACGGGAAAGGAUGAUGACAUUAGAGCGAUAUUCAUUGUCUGGAGCAACAUUUGCAGUGGCUGAAAUAAUUGUUUAUUGUAACUGCUGUAUUGUUGCGAUGGGGUGAGACUUUGUCUUUGUUGGCGUCUAAUGGGCCCUUUGUUUAUCCCUAAGAUAAUAUGUGAGUGCAUAUGGAACUGCGGGGAAUGAUGGCAGGGAAAACCGAAGAACUCGGAGGGGAAAUAGAAUUGUUCCGUUCCAACAGCAAAUCUCACAUGAACCGGUAGUUUUUGAGUACAUAAGCCCUCCCACCCCCCUUUAACACUGUAUAGGCUCCGAUCAGGACUUGUACGGGGCAUAUAAUAGGACUAUCUCUCAGAAAUAUUUGGCAUCAAAGGCUUUUGGGAUAUUUAAGCAGAAAUAUGGGGAGAUAGCUUUUCGUUUAAAAAAAACCCGACAUUCCAAUUUAAAAAUUCAUUAUCAGUUUUCGGAAAGACAAGAUUUUCAACACUACCGCAAUCGUGCGAAGACAUAAAAGAGGCAAAGUGUAUGUUCGAAAUUGUUGUGACCCCUCUACUGUCAAAUGAAAUGUGAAUACACAAGGUAAGCAGAUGCCUUAAUUUGCUCCUUACGUGUUGUUAUAAAUGUAUCAAUUUUACCGAACCAAGUCGUCUCAAUUAUCGGUAAUAAAACAGAACCUUCCCGCUCCAACCUCCCCUAUCAAAGUACAAAUUUUUUGUAAUACUUAAAAUAUAAGAAAAUAAUAAUAAAACAAUUUGGUGUAGGCUUUUUGUAGUUAGAAUAGCUUAGAAUGGUUAUUGUAAUAUAGAUGUCGUUGCAGAUUAGCAACAUUAUUACUGUGGGAAGCUUCCCUCCUUGUUUUUUUUAAAUAAACAAUUGAUUGUUAUUGCCCAUCUCAACAACAAUUGAAUCCGACUGACGCGCAUUGUGUAUGCCAUAUUAUAUAAUUUCAUCACAUUUACUGUAAUUAUAUUUCUUUAAUGGUGUAGUUGAAACCGUACAUGGAGUGAAAAAGAUUGAAUAGUUGAUUAGUAGUCGCAGAGACCAGAAAUAUGUGCAUGCAAAAUAACUUGCAGUAUAUACCUAUGAGUGAAUAUGAUUUCUACAUAGGGAGGUCCUGUUCACCAAGGGACAAACAUUAAAUUCGCCUUUAGCAUCUGAUUCUAUUCAUUUUUUUUAAAUUUCGUACAGAUUCGAUGUCCCCAGGCAAUCGAGGGCGAUCACAUGAAAGCUGAGAAACUAACUUAAGGUUAAGUAGCUUUGUGAAUAAUUGCCCUCAAACAAGUAAAAUAAAAGUUUUGAGAGUUUUGAGGUUUUCACAGAUCUAAAAAUGUGGGUCUAUACUUUUGAGUUGCAACGCUAUGCAGCCUUGUAGGUGGUUACCAGUGAUUCGGAGGAAGGGAUAUUUGACAUCUUCUGGGUAGAAGGAAGAUGGUGGAGAUCUCUUCCUUCACGAUAUCCUUAAGUAUGCCUUACCACAUUUUAUGAACUUAUUUCUAAUCAUUGAUUUUAUUCAAGGAUGAAAGUGUCCUGUUAUGUAUCUCUAUAGAAAAGGAGCUUGUCUGUUCUGUAUCGGAACUGUAGUAGUACCAUUGAUACUUAUUAGUGGCAAUUUACAUGUUCUGUGCAUUUGAAUGGCUUGCGUACUGUUUCUGGUUUGUUUUUCAUGCUGUGUUAAUCCUCUUGCUACUUAAAGGAAGCCUUGAGUUCACAUUUACGAAACGACCAAUUAUUCAGUUUGUGUUAAUUUAAAAAUCUGGAAUAUAUUUAUAAUUUUAAAAAACUGGUGAUGUCGAUGGAUUGGACUAGUUAAUGACGAAGCUACAGAUUUGUGGAAGACAGUUUAUUUUGUUGCAGUAUUUCCUUUUUGAGUAAGUCUAAAUUUUUAGCUAUAGAUCUCUGAGUUUAAUACGGUAUGAUGUCUGCUAUGCAACGCCUGGGUAUGUGAUAAUGUAUCCUGAUGACGGUCAUUACAAUGUUAAUGACAGUGUUGCAGUCUGUAGUAAAAUCAACUGUCUCUAUGUGAGUAUAUACUGCAGCCGGCUCUGUGUCCUGAGCACACGCUGUACGUUAGGAUGGUGAAACUUUCGCUGGGACCAGGAUACUGUUCGUACACAUGAACUCUGGGAAGAUGUGGCCACGUGUAUGAAAAUUGGUUUGUGAUUACCCACUUGUUUUGUAUUUAAGAAGUUACCAUUUGUGGUCCGUGUAAUCAAGAAUUAUUGUAUUCGACUUCAGCUCCAUUGUACUAUAAGACUUCCGUUCUUGGCUGAAUGGUUGUAUUCCACGUGGUCAGACCUGGUACUCAGUUAUGUGGAAGGCGCAUGACUAGUGGUUAAGAUGAAAUGAACGGAUUUAUACAUUUGUGGUAUAUUUUUCUGCGUCAUGUGCUUUGUUUUGACUGUUUAAAGUGUUAAAUUCUAUAAGUGCAAUUUUUUUUGUAAACAUAGCUUAAUGGUUUUGUUUUGAAAAGGUAUUACAUUUUACCGUUUACACUUGGUCUUAAGAGAAGCCGUAUUUUACUAGGUUCGCUUACUUGGUCAGUCAGAAAGCAACAUCUUGUGUGUUUGGUGGAUGUUGUUCGAUCUUUCAGUGCGUCUGAGACCGAAAUACGUCCGUCUGUCACUGGUGAGGUUUUCAUGUGUUGCGAUCUGUCCACACUAGAAUUUUACGGGCUGUUGGAACUACUCUUUGUAAAAGUGACAUUAGAUAGUCUGGAUGUGCAGAUUUCGUGUCACCAGGACACCGAGAAUCCUAAAACUUGAUUUACUAAGUUUGUAUAGGGAACAGGGCUCUGAUAUUUUUACAAAGCUGCCGUUAUAAUUGAACAUAUUUAAAACAUUUUCCUGGUGGAAUUAAAUGUGAACUACUUUUACCAUUUUUAUAGAAGAAACAAUUACAUUUCAGUGUGGAAAUUUGAUCUAAUUAGUCUAGCGCCGCUGCAGAUAACAGACCACAAUGCCCUGUAACCCAAUCUUAAUGCUGGAUUCGGUGUGUGAAAAGCAACGACCGAAAUUGAGAAGCUCUGAAAUUCGAAGUCAUCACUAACACCGUUGGCUUCUGACUGUGCCUUGUAAGUGAAGUUACGAGUCAUGCACUGGAGGCAGUUGUUGUUGGGAAAAGCAAACGUAUGUAAAGUUAGUAAUUAUAUAGCCUUUUUAUCAUUGAUAUAAAUAACAAUAAUUGCUAAUUAAGCAAUGGCUUAUAUGAUGAAUAUGGUUUCUUGAUGUAAAGUGUGGUUCAUUACAAAUACGAAUUAUGUGCUUCAGUUAUGUAACAUUAGUCAUGUUCGGAUGACAUGUGGCUGUGCUACAUUAAUGUAAUUACAAAAAUAUUCCUAAAUUCUUAACAAGAGGAGUGUUUUUGUGAAUACUUAAGCCCAAAAGUGUAAUAUACAUACACAAAUAUGAUUCGAAGUGUAAUAUCUGGGAAAAAGAUGCCUCUUAGUCGUAACUUGAUAUUGUCGAUCCUGUUUCAGCAAAUCUGUUUAACGAUGACAUUAUGGACGCCUAGAUCAUUAAAAAUAAAAGCUUGUCAUAAAAUCACAAACAUGGAUAUAUGUGGAUGCUUGAUAUAUUUUAAUCUGUUCCAAGUAAUGUUGCAGAAACCAAAUGGACCGUCACUUUAAGUUAUCAGUAAAAAGCAAUGAUUAUGAUGCCAGUUCUAAGUAUGUAGUCCAGGAAAGAAAUCAAUUGGUCUUACAAACUGAUUGCCAAAUCACGAGGGAAAGCCUGAAGUUACAGACAUUUGGUUUUAGAACAAGCAGUUUUGCCUGUUGCAUGUAUUGUUACUAGUACAAGCAGUCUGGGCCUAGGUUCCUUUUGUCUCUGGGACCGUACUUAGAAAUUCAGAUCCUUGUAUUUUGUUCAGUAUUUACCGUAUCUAAGAAUGUUUCAAAUUAAUGUUAUAUUUAUAUAUAUCAUUAUGAUUUGUGCGCUAUGUCAUUUGGUACGUUUUGUAGGACGAUUAAUAUUUGGGACACAAUAUGAGGUUCUUGAUCGUCAUGCAAAGUGGAUCGAUACGAAAUGGAAUAGAACUCUCUAAACGAAUUUUAUUAUUUGGCUCAGUACGAAAUAUCAUCGCAGCCCUUCGAUAGUUUCUGAGAAGAAACUUGUUUUACGAAUUACAUUACGUUGAUUUUAUAUGCUUUGACCAAGCGUGUCUAACCAUGAAACCUGAUUGUUAUGAGUUUGCGUGCAAUAAUUUUGUAAUUAAAACUUCCUCAGGUAACAGACCCGUGCAUUUCCAUGAAAAUAAAUAAAAUUGCAUACCAGGACGGUGUUUACUAGGUUAACAAGAUCCGGAAAUUAAAUUUAACUGUACUUAUGUGGCAGCUGUGUAUAUGAUGGGACUGAAUUUAUGACAAGCUGUGUUUGAUUUGAUAGAUGGGCUAAAGGUGAUUUCCUAUAUAUGUACUCUCAAACAUUUAGUGCGUCAACAGAUUUGUCCUGAGACAAGUGAUAUGGUUAAUUGUAAGGUAUCUAGAAAGUAAUAAUACUUCUUUUCUGUGUGUUUUGUACGUGUGAUGGAAUAAACAGCCAAUACUUGCUUGUGUGCCUGCUUGCGUGUGUAUUUUGUAUACUCUGUGUGUUCCGAAGCAGUCUACAUUAAGGCUGGAUAGCACACAUUGUUAUUAUACAUCAAAAUAUUGAUAAUUUCUCAAACAAAGAAAUAUGAGCUUUUGAUGGCUUUUUAUAUGUUAGUACAAUAAGAGUAAAUGAAUAAAUAUAAUCAUCAUUGUGAUGGUGGUUACAAUAAAACAAUUUUCUGCUUAAACAGA